CGUUGAUAGAUUCCCCACUUCUGUUUCUGGUCUAUUAUUUAAGCCAUCUUACUUUAUUGAACCACGGAAUAAAUGUGAAAUUAAGUUACGCGUCUGCAGUCAGUUUAAGGGUUUGUUGGAAGCCAUCUUGGAGGUUCAAAUGUCAGACCUCACCAAGGGUUCAGGAACGUCUGUAGCUGCUUCACAAGUCUCCGUUCAAACACUUAUCGUUUGUGCCAAGAUUAAUGAACCAGAUGUACAGUUGACAUGUGAUGGAGAAGAUUUAUUAGACUUUGGUGUGGUGCCAGAAGGCUGUAUAAUCUGGAAGUGACUCUCAUCAACCACUCUCCACAGACUCUCCCAGUCAUUUUAAAUUUGCAGCAGGUAGCAGUAACGUCUCCCAUCUUUUAUUGGAAUUCCAAUAAAAAUGAAUUUGCAAAGCUCAUCUCACCCACCCACUUGGCCCUUGAACUGCCUGCUGCCUGUAGGAUUCUGGUCCAGUCCCACAAACACUGACUGUCACCCUUAAGGCUCCUCACCUUGGUAAUGUUAAAGUGAGUGAAAGUGGUGUGGUGGGAGUGAAGAGCCACCUGCAGGUAGAACUUGAUACACCUGAUAAUUCAACAAUGAUUAUUGCAGCUUUUCCAGUUAAGGCACACAUUGGAGCAGUACGUUUAGAGGCUCUACGACCAUUGAAUCUUUUGGUGUAGAAACAAUGUCAGAUGACUCGCAC